rnacentral:rRNA from 1 species
UUUUUGAAAAUAAUUUAAAGUYUGAUYUGCUCCAUGAAUUUAUUUAAAUAGCUGCAGAAUAUUAACUGUACAAAGGUAGCAUAAUCAAUAGUUUUUUAAUUGAAAGCUGGAAUGAAAGAUUUGAUAAAGUAAAUAUUGUCUCAAAUUUAAUAAAAUUAAAAAUUUUUUUUUUGUAAAAAUACAAAAAUAAAUUUAAAAGACGAGAAGACCCUAUAGAUUUUUAUAUUAAUAAGUUUAAAAAAUUUAAAAAUAAAAAUAAUUUUUGAUUUAAUAAUAUUUGGUUGGGGAAAUUGUUAAAUUAAAUAAAUUUUAAUUUUUUUUAAACAAUAAUGUUUGGUAAUUUGAUCUAAUUAUAAUAAUUAUAAGAAUAAAAUACCUUAGGGAUAACAGCGUAAUUUUUUUUGAGAGUUCUAAUCGAUAAAAAAGUUUGCGACCUCGAUGUUGAAUUAAGAUAAAAUUUUAAUGAAGAAGUUAAAUAUUUUUGGUCUGUUCGACCAUUAAAAUCUUAC